UACGUAGGGUGCAAGCGUUAAUCGGAAUUACUGGGCGUAAAGCGUGCGCAGGCGGUUUUAUAAGCCAGAUGUGAAAUCCCCGGGCUCAACCUGGGAACUGCAUUUGGAACUGUAAAGCUAGAAUAUGUCAGAGGGGGGUAGAAUUCCACGUGUAGCAGUGAAAUGCGUAGAGAUGUGGAGGAAUACCGAUGGCGAAGGCAGCCCCCUGGGAUGAUAUUGACGCUCAUGCACGAAAGCGUGGGGAGCAAACAGG
rnacentral:rRNA from 1 species